UACGUAGGGUGCAAGCGUUAAUCGGAAUUACUGGGCGUAAAGCGUGCGCAGGCGGUUUGGUAAGACAGAUGUGAAAUCCCCGGGCUCCAACCUGGGAAUUGCAUUUGUGACUGCCCGACUAGAGUGUGUCAGAGGGGGGUAGAAUUCCACGUGUAGCAGUGAAAUGCGUAGAGAUGUGGAGGAAUACCGAUGGCGAAGGCAGCCCCCUGGGAUAACACUGACGCUCAUGCACGAAAGCG
rnacentral:rRNA from 1 species